AACUGAUCGCGAGAUCAGCCGAUAACUGAAAGACCAUUGGUUCGGACUCUCAGAUUAUCUCCUCAUCAGGCUAAUCACGGUUAUUUGACCCGGCUCUUGCCGGGUCUUUUUU
rnacentral:sRNA from 2 species